rnacentral:rRNA from 1 species
AUUCGCGUAUCGAUGAAAAACGCAGCUAGCUGCGUUAUUUACCACGAAUUGCAGACGCUUAGAGUGGUGAAAUUUUGAACGCAUAGCGCCGUUGGGUUUUCCCUUCGGCACGUCUGGUUCAGGGUUGUU